rnacentral:ncRNA from 1 species
UUCCUAAAAGCAUAGUGGGAAAGAGACGUGUAAUUCGUCCACAUUACUUGAUACGGUGAUAGUCCGAAUGCCACCUAGGAAUAGAUAGAGCAAGGAGACUCAAUGAAUAAAGUAACUAC